CCUACGGGAGGCAGCAGCUAAGAAUAUUCCGCUAUGGAUGAUACUCUGAUGCAGCGACGCCGCGUGAGUGACGCCGUAUUUCUGUAUGUGUAUCUCUAUCUGCAGGGAUGUAUGACUCGUAAGGGAGAUGACGGUACUUGACUAAGAAGCCCCGGCUAAUACGUGCCAGCAGCCGCGGUAAU
rnacentral:rRNA from 1 species